AUUUAUAUGAUACUACUAGUAUUGACAUGAUGCGAAAUGGUACCUUCGGAAUUUGCCUGGACAAUUGUUUUGCUCCUAAUAUUACCAUUUAUAUAUGAUAUAAUACUUUAUCGGGGUACUUUAUCGGGGUUUUUUUCUUGAUAAGUAAUACACAUACUUAUUACAGGGUCCAUUUUAUUCAUAGUUUGAUUGACUUAAGCAUCAAGGAAAGGUUGUAUUUUGGAAGAUGGAAUGAUACUUUGACAGAUAGGUUUCAGCCCUAUUCCCUUUGAUCCUGUAGCUAGUUGUUGGAUUAUUGCUGAUGGAAUGCACUUUUUGCCUGGCUUCUUAUGUGAGUGUGCCUCUUUGUCCAAGUACCGGAGACAAUAUAAGAUCCUUUCAAUUGUAUGUUUAGGUCAUAAUGUGCUGUUUUUCUCAAAAUUUCAUGGUAAUUGGACUUCUGCGGUGGAGAAUAGGUUCACAGUUUGCUGCAGCCUGCAGUCAAGCAGUAACAGAUGCGACCAGUACUUCAGGGUCCUGCCAAAUGGUUUGCUGGUUAAUGGUGCCCCCUCCCUCCCUUUAAAGCAGUCAUCUUUUAGCACCAUCUGUUAUCUCAUUGAUGCAAACAUGCAUUUGGGCUAUUGCUUCUUGUCUUAGCUGCUCUCAGAUCUCUCCCGAAUGAUAGGCAUUUCUUCAUAAAUCAACUUACAUUUGGAUUUGACUAUAGUGUUGCUCUCUAUGCACUUUGGUGUGUGCACUAAAGUCUUGGAUUGAUCCCUUUACCUUGUAUUGAUAUUUGUAAUCUUGGCCAUUGGUAUGAACUGUCAUUUACUUUCUUGAUGUUGUAGAAUCUGACCCAGCUUUGGGGCAUAAGCUAUUUAACUCAGGUUGGAGUGAUCUGAAGGAUAUCUGAUGGUUCCUUACAGUAUGAAAAUGGUUAUAACGGACAAUGAGUUUUCGCUCAGGAUUGAUGCUUUUUAGUCAUUGAGAAGGAAAGAAGAUAACGGAGGUGGGAAAAUGGUUCUUUUUUUUCCUUUUUUUUUUUCUGGUAGUUCUAUUUUUUCCAAAAAUUUUUGGGCGUGGGGCUAGUGGUGUCAUUUGAUUUUCUAUUGCAUAAUUUGUUGGGAGAGGUUGUUUUUAGAAUCAAGGAUGAUAUUACUUGAACAAGUUGUGUAGAUGGAUAGCUUGAAGCUAAGUUGAGUUACCUCUUGAUUUAUUUUUAA